GAAAUGAAAACCUGCUCAGAUCUUUGUUCCCAUAUUUCCAUCGUUCAGCAGAAGAAACUUCCCGCAGUGAAGCAUCAUGUCCUCAGAGAAGCCUGGAGAGUGGAGUGAAGAGCUGCUGCCACUGAGGCAGAACAGAAAAUCUGUGAUGAGGUGAAGCCUGAAGACCUGAAGCCUGAAAUGUACAAAGCCUUUGCUUACAGAAGAUCAGACCUGUGUGGAGGAGGACAAUACGACAUCAAGGUGUAUCUAGGAGGUGAUCAGGGUCUUCGUCUGAUCAUUGGCUAUGCACUUUAUCCUAAUGGUGACUUUCAGCAUUACAAACUGGAGAGUAAACAGCCCUUCGACAUCGUCUAUGGGAGCAACUGAACAACACAGAGCUGACUAACAUGAUCUGAUCGAUCUUGAUGUUCAAUAAACGUGAUUAUUGAUUAAAAGA